UCUCCGAUCUCCCUCGUUCGCUCUGUUUCCGCGGUUACCAGUCGCUCUGCUUGGUUAUGCAAUGCACGGUGCUCUCAGACUCCGAGACGGGACCUAUAACCACAUGACAGCCAUCGGCUACGGACGGAGAAAAGCAGGGUGGGGAGCUCGCAGCUGCAGGUCACCAAUCUCAUGAGUGUCCGGAGGCAUUUGCGCGCAUCUGUAGCGCUUCUACACCCAAAGAAAAAGAGGAGCGCAAAAGAAGAAGGGAAAGAAAUCGCGGAGGAGGAAAAGGAGAUAAGCUGGCCCUCAUGUUGCCGUCAACCCAGAUAUGCCUCUCCUGUGAUGAGCCCACAGCAUGCUGGAUCUUCCCCCAGAUCUCCCACGCCGUAGGAUAAGCACCCUGGAGACAGAGGUGGGGGGGUCAGAAUGGGAACGACCACCGUCAGUAUAGAGGAGGUUCGGGCGCUAGAGGGAAAAGAGGAGCGAGAGGAGUCUAUCUUGGCCCUGCUGGGGAUCAUUGGCACCUUCUUGAACCUCUUUGUCAUAGUGUUUGUUUACAUUUACACCACUCUGUGAGAAGGAUCCAAGCAGGUGGAGGUAAGAGGUGGGGUCCAACAGAGAUAUGACAGCAGGGCUGACGUCUCAAAGAGAAGAAAGUGGAAGAUGACACUGGCCUGCUCAGGACGGGGAGAAUGACGCUUAUUCUUCACCUCUGACGGAUCUAUAUCAAUGCGAUGGACAUCGGCUUAACACAUGGCUCUGGACACACAGAGAACAAUUCUUGGAUACACCAGAUUCGUACCCUUGCGAGACAUGGUCAUGGGCCAAGAGACCUUUCGUUUACUUGGCUAUGGGAAUUACAUUGAGCACUGCCAAGUUCCGAUCACGAGGACACAGGUAUGCCGAAAGACCCUAUUGGUCAAACACACGAAUGUAAUAGGGCAACAGAACAACUCCCUCCGAACUUAUCGACCAAUAGGAAGAAUUCUGCAAUAAAAUGGAAACAUUGGAAUUAUAAAAUAUUUUUCUAUUAAGAGCAAAAGAAAGAAUGAGACCCAUCUGCAGGUUCAAAAUGCAGGACCUUAUGAGGACACGCUGUUUGGUGACAUUUGGACACUUUUUCACUACAGAUCCUCUGACUGGUUGAGGGAAGAUAAAGAAACAAAUAUGAGUGUGUUUUCUCUCUGAUUUGAGUGCGGUGUCAGACACGUUGUUUCAGUGCAAACUAAGAAAAACACUUUUGAAUCAAUACAUGAUUGCAUACUAGAUGUACUGUGCCAUAGGGAAUCUGAUCAAUAAACUACCAUUCUAUGAAUCGGGAUGUU